CAGUAUGUUAUUCCUAAAGGAGAAAAAAAAAGAUAAGAGGCUGGAGACACUCAAGUGUAUUCAGUUGAGUUCCCUCAGGAAGAUCAAUGACCCUCUCAAUGACCCACAGACCAAUAUCUCCAGCUAGCUCAGAAGCAGCAUAUUCCCUCUCAGCUUCAGAUGAGGGAGCCUGGUCAAAGACAAUGAUGUCUGCAUGCCAGGACGCAACAUGAAAGCCUUCUGUGGUGCUAUUUAUUGUAGCAACAGGCCCUGGCAACAGUUAGAUGCCAUGGUGAUCAUGAAUAACCAAACUCCCAGAGAUGAGAUGAGGGUAUUUCUACUGCUUGGACUUGCAGCAGGGAGAAGCAGAUGGUCCUCAUUUCAUCAUGGGCUGCAAUACAUCUAACAGGGUUGCUGCAGCACAGCUGUCUUCUGAGGAGCUACAGAACAACCAUGAAGCCAGAAGCCAGACUCCAAGUGACAGUGCUGACAGAACAUGGGCUGCCACCUCACAGGAGGGGGCAGCUUGGACAAGGGGCACUUCAGAGAACGGAAGCAAACUUGAAGUUGAAGCCAGAGAGGGAGACUUUCCUGAGAGAUCAACAGAAGGAUUUGCACCUUCUGAAAAAAGCAGCAACGCACAAAGCACAGGUUAGGGAAAAGGAACUACGCAGGACACCACAACACACUGCAUCUUAUCCAGCAACGGACCACCAAACUACAGGUAAACAGACUGAAAAGGACUGCCCAAGUUUUCAAAGUCAAGAAAGCACAGGUGCCCCUCAGUCGUCACCUUUACAUGGUGAGAUAAGCGUACCGCUGCAGGAAAUAACUGCAGAAGAAACCACCAAUUAUUACACUGAGGACUUUACCAUUGAGUCUGAUAUAACUUACAACUGUAUCAAUGAAACAAUCUGGAUCUAAGCCAUCCUGCAAAGAAGGAGCCUCUCUGCUCCCUGCUGCUGUUUACCUCGGGGCUUAAGUAGAUGAUUUAUCCUGAGCUGAUGGUUGUGGUUACCUGUUACACCUUGGAAAACUCUAAUUUCACAUUUUUACACACUAGUUGGAGGAAACAAAAUAAAUAAGAAAAGCAAGAGGCAAUUUAGUGACCUGCCAGUCUCUAGGUUGGAGCACAUACAUAUGAACACGGUUUUAUUACAGUUACCUCUAGAAUUCCUUUUUUCUAGAGAGCAGAGAACCAGAGUUUGGAAAGGCAUUGUAACCAUACAGAAAGGCACAUAAGGAGGAGUAUGCAAGGAAGAAAAAAAGCUUGAACAGCUGCAAGAUUUGGGGUAGUAAAACACAGCGGAGACCUAAACAUAAGGACAAAGAGUUUUAACUUACUGUGCAGGCAGAGAUGUGAGAGCUUCAAACAUUAAGGGAACAACAGGCCACAGGAAUGUCAUUGUAUACAGAGCAAGGACAAAUACUGAAACUGCAGUGGAGAAAACAACUAAUUGGUUGAGAUAUGCAAAGCACAGGUGAGUUAUCCAUGUGGCCAGAAAUAACGUGAUUGGUCUCCAUGGGAAGGAGAGCACUGUUUCCAUAACACAGCAAUGAAUUUGGAAUGAACCCAUUCCCUACCUCCUAUACACACGCAACAUCUAAUACAUCCAGCUCCUUCAAAACCAGUGCGUAACAGCAAUGGUUGCACUUGUGCUUUGCCUGUUACCAGCCCUACUAUCCCCUUCUGGCUCAUCUCUAAAUAUGCCUAAUCCUUACUUCCAUACCACACUCACGCCCACCUCCUGUGCUGGCUUUUUUAAUUCCGUACCUCCAACUCCUGAUGACGCAUUCUUCCUUUCUGCCUUCCAAGCCAAGGAAAUUCUGUUCCAGUACUGGACCACUGCUCUCUUCGCCAGGUACUAUAGAAAAGAGAAAAAUGUAGCCUUUAUUUGUACAGUCUCGUUGUGGUUCUCCCUAUUACUCUCGGGAAAUUAAAUAAAUAAACAAAUAAUACUUGCACUAAAACAUCAAAGGUAGGAACAAGAUCUCAUCUCACUACUCAAGCAGCUGGGAUCCCACUUGAGCAGCUGAGUGAGUAAGCUCAUCAGGAAGAGACCAAUGCUUCAGGCCUGGCCAUGUUGGUUUUUAAGAAAAAAAAAAUGGGACACAGUAGCAAAUGGAAAAGCAAAACUGAAAAUUACCCUGUGUUGCCUGGAAAGAACUGUAAAAAUACCGAAGAAAAAGAGAAACAAACUUAGGAAAAAGAAGAACUUUGGUCAGCUGGCUUGAAGUCAUCCAACAGUCUGACAGACGGGAAGCAGGAGAUUGAGGAUGUGUUUUCACCAUGCAGUUAACCAAUGUUGUUCAUCGAAUUUUCUCUCAGAUUCUUUAAGCUAAGGCUGCCUAGCCAGACCUGGAAUAAAAACGUGUGUCUGUGUGUACAUAUAUCAGACUGUUCUACUGAGCUGAUUAGCCUCCUUUUUAAUGAAGGCAAAGAUACUGAAGCACUAGUAGUUGCCCGAAGCCUUCCUGUGGUUUCAGAAGGACGGGACAAACACCCAAUGUCCUUUCUUCCACUAUUUCCCAGGUGAGGAUUUUAUCUCCCUGGAGCACAAAAGGCCUCACGACACACAGAGAGAAGCACAGCAGCAGGCAAGGUGCCUUUCUGUACUGUGACCACCUGUGGGCUCCUGCACGGCUCAGCUGUGUCAGACACACUGCUCUCACUCGUCAACCGCACAGCCUGAGAAGAGCAACAGUAAACACGGCGUGUAUCCGACAACGGCGGGGCUCUUAGCAGGCACAGACACAAGUGAGGUGCACUGCGUCUGCUUUUAAAACACGACGCAGCCCCGUGCCGUUCCCUCGGGCCCUGUCGGUGUGACAGAGAGCAGAGCUCAGCGCUGCCCGCCCGCUCCCCGCGUAGAGCCGCCACGACGCCGCCCCUCAGCCUCCACACAACGAGCCGGCCGCAUCCAGCUCCACGCUCGGCCCUGAUUCUGC
ensembl:lncRNA